GCCUUCGUGGUGUAGUGGUCAGCACAGUCAGCGCGCAUUCGAGAGGUCCGUGGUUCAAGUCCCAGCGAGGGCA
rnacentral:tRNA from 1 species